AGUGAACGCUGGCGGUAGGCCUAACACAUGCAAGUCGAACGGCAUCACAUUAAGAGUUUUCUCUAACGGGUGGCGAUUGUCGGACGGGUGAGGAAUACAUCGCCAUCUACUUUUUCGUGGGGUGUAACGUAUGGCAACUUAGGCCAAUACCCCAUACGACCUACGGGUGAAAUCAGGGGAUCUUCGGACCUUGCGCGAUUGGAUGAGUCGAUGUCGGAUUAGCUAGUUGGCGGGGUAAAGUCGCACCAAGGCAACGAUCCGUAGCUGGUCUGAGAGGAUGAUCAGCCACACUGGAACUGAGACACGGUCCAGAGUCCUACGGGAGGGAGCAGUGGGGAAUAGUGGACAAUGGGCGCAAGCCUGAGCCAGCCAUACCGCGUGGGUGAAGAAGGACUUCGGGUUGUAAAGCACGUUUGUUGGGAAAGAAAAGCAGCAGGUUAAUACCGCGCUGUUCUGACGGUACCCAAAGAAUAAGCACCGGCUAACUUCGUG
rnacentral:rRNA from 1 species